GUGUCAGCCGCCGCGGUAAUACGUAGGGACCAAGCGUUGUUCGGAUUUACUGGGCGUAAAGGGAGCGUAGGCGGCAAUUCAAGUCAGUUGUGAAAUCUUCGAGCUUAACUCGGAACGGUCAACUGAUACUGCUUUGCUAGAGUACAGAAGGGGCAAUCGGAAUUCUUGGUGUAGCGGUGAAAUGCGUAGAUAUCAAGAGGAACACCUGAGGUGAAGACGGGUUGCUGGGCUGAUACUGACGCUGAGGCUCGAAAGCUAGGGUAGCAAACGGGAUUAGAAACCCCCGUAGUCC
rnacentral:rRNA from 1 species